ACGGCUCAGUAACACGUGGACAACCUGCCCUCGGGAGGGGGAUAACCCCGGGAAACUGGGGCUAAGCCCCCAUAGGGGAUGGAUACUGGAAUGUUCCAUCUCCGAAAGUCCGCAAGGAGCCCGAGGAUGGGUCUGCGGCGGAUUAGGUAGUUGGUGGGGUAACGGCCCACCAAGCCUAAGAUCCGUACGGGCCAUGGGAGUGGGAGCCCGGAGAUGGACCCUGAGACAAGGGUCCAGGCCCUACGGGGCGCAGCAGGCGCGAAACCUCCGCAAUGCGGGAAACCGCGACGGGGUCAGCCGGAGUGCCGAUGCUUGCAUCGGCUGUCGGGGAGCCUAAAAAGCUCUCCAAGCAAGGGCCGGGCAAGGCCGGUGGCAGCCGCCGCGGUAAUACCGGCGGCCCGAGUGGCGGUCACUAUUAUUGGGCUUAAAGCGUCCGUAGCCGGGUUGGUUAGUCUCCCGGGAAAUCUGGCCGCUCAACGGUCAGAAUUCCGGGAGAUACUGCCAGCCUAGGGACCGGGAGAGGCCGAGGGUAUUCCCGGAGUAGGGGUGAAAUCCUAUAAUCCCGGGAGGACCACCUGUGGCGAAGGCGCUCGGCUGGAACGGGUCCGACGGUGAGGGACGAAGGCCAGGGGAGCAAACCGGAUUAGAUACCCGGGUAGUCCUGGCUGUAAACGAUGCGGACUUUGUGUCGGACAAGCUAUGAGCUUGUCCGGUGCCGGAGGGAAACCGUUAAGUCCGCCGCCUGGGGAGUACGGCCGCAAGGCUGAAACUUAAAGGAAUUGGCGGGGGAGCAC
rnacentral:rRNA from 1 species